rnacentral:rRNA from 1 species
UACGUAGGGGGCAAGCGUUGUCCGGAUUUAUUGGGCGUAAAGAGCGUGUAGGCGGCCAUGUAGGUCCGUUGUGAAAACUCGAGGCUCAACCUCGAGACGCCGAUGGAAACCAUGUGGCUAGAGUCCGGAAGAGGAGAGUGGAAUUCCUGGUGUAGCGGUGAAAUGCGCAGAUAUCAGGAAGAACACCGAUGGCGAAGGCAGUUCUCUGGGCCGUAACUGACACUGAGAGACGAAAGCUAGGGGAGCAAAUGGG